AAGACUAUAGACCUGCGGAGUACCUGCGGAGGGAUCAUUAUUGAAUGAUGUUCAUGAUCUUUUAAAGAUCAUGUAACUUAUCUUUUGAUAAACCAUGUGAAACGGAAACAUUUUUUAACGAGAUGAUACGUUUUAAGUGAUUGUAUGUCUAUAAGUUUAAUACUUUAAACUUUUUAAAACAACUUUUAACAAUGGAUCUCU
rnacentral:misc_RNA from 1 species